rnacentral:tRNA from 1 species
CCGGAUGUGGUGGUAUUGGCAGUACACACGGGAUUUAAAAUCCCACAGAGGUUUCCUCUUACGAGUUCGAAUCUCGUCAUCCGGA